ACACGACUACAUUAGACUACCCCGUAGUCCUAGCCGUAAACGAUACUCACUAGGUGUCGGCCACGGUGCGACCGUUGUCGGUGCCGUAGGGAAGCCGUGAAGCGAGCCACCUGGGAAGUACGGCCGCAAGGCUGAAACUUAAAGGAAUUGGCGGGGAGCACCACAACGCGUGGAGCCUGCGGUUUAAUUGGAUUCAACGCCGGACAUCUCACCAGGGCGACAGCAGAAUGAUGGCCAGGUUGAUGACCUUGCUUGACAAGCUG
rnacentral:rRNA from 1 species